UUACGGCCAUAUCUUAUUGAAACAUUGGUUCCCAUACGAUCACUGAAAUUAACUAACAUUGAAUCCGAUUAGUACUUAGAUGGGUGACCACUUGGGAAUACCAGGUGCUGCAAG